UACCUAUGCUGUUUUAAAUUAUUUGUCAUGGUUAAUCAAAAUAAUUUUUUAAAAUUAGUUGUCAUUUUAAAAUUUGAAAGCAAAAUUAAUUAAUAUCUUCUAUUUUAUUUUUAGUAAAAUUUUAUUAUUAUUAAAGAUGACACACAUAAAUUGAGUAAAUAUUUAAUAAAGAGUAAUUAAAAUAGUGUAAACUUUCUCCUAAUUAAUAUUUCUGAAGGAGCCCGUAAAACAAAAUAAUUUGAGAUUGAAGGAGUAGUAAAUCCACUUUAUAUAUUAACCCAGAUAAUAAUCAGAUUGAGUAGUUGAUUAGAAGUAAGUGGAGGAUCAUAUAUUGAAGAUUGAAGUUAAACAAAAAAGUUCUCCACUAACUUCACAAUCCAAUUUAUUUAUUGACCCAGAUAAUCAAUUGAGUGUUUAAUUGGAAAUAAACGGAUGAUUAAAGAUUGAAGAAGGAAGAGAUGAUUGAAGUAAGCAGUGAUGCUUGUGCUUCAGAAGAUGAAGGUACAAAUGAUUAUCGACGUGGAGGUUAUCAGGCCGUUCGAUUAGGCGAUACUUUCAAAGGUGGAAGAUAUAUUGUACAUAGCAAAUUGGGUUAUUCAUCAAUUUGUAGCAUUAAAAGUACAAAAUAGCGCUCAGCACUACACGGAGGCAGCAUUGGACGAAAUCACAAUUUUAAAGCAGAUUGCGGAAGGUUAAAAAGUGUAGUGAAGUUACUGGAUCAUUUUAAGCACUCAGGUCCAAACGGUCAACAUGUGUGUACGGUUUUCGAGUAUUUAGGUGACAAUCUCUUGUCACUUAUUAAGUAUACUGAUUAUCGAGGACUGCCUAUUCACAUGGUUAAAGAGCUUUGUUUCCAUGUUCUAGUGGGUUUGGAUUAUUUGCAUAGACAGCUUUCCAUCAUACUGAUCUGAAACCCGAAAAUAUGCUACUCUGUUCCACGAUCGAUCCGUCUAAAGAUCCCAGAAAAUCAGGAGCAUCUCUUAUUCUUCCUAGUGAUACGGACAUGGCUUCACUCGACUUCGGGACUGUGAAGAGCCAUGAUCACCUAGCACUAAUGAUGGAGCUUCUAGGAACAAUGUCCCGGAAAGUAAGAGAAAGUACCUUUAACCACUUCAAACUUCUUACACUUGUCUGCAUCAGCCAUCCAGAGAUGCCAUGCGCCUCAGCAAAUUACGGCGCCUGGAUAUUGAUGGCUGCCCAGAGUUAGAAGAAAGUUGCAGCAAUCGGAGUGGCCCAAACUCCCAGUGGUCCAACAUUUCCCAUAUUCCAAAAAUUGAAGUAGGUGGGAGGAGAAUUCGGAACUUAGAACGUUGCUGUGGUAUAUCAAGUCAAAAUCCACAGGCUGCACUUUAGGGUUGGUUAUGUUCCACAGAAGAACCACCACGUUUGUUUUGUUGAAGAACUGACUCUUUCAUGAGCAUUUGGUACUAUGGUGAAGAUAAUAAAGGGUAUCCACAGACGGUGCCAUUGAAUUUUGUUGAUGAGCUAUUCAUGAUAUAAAGCUAGGAGUGCUGUGAUACAAAGAGAAAAUGUAUGUCCACUACUAGUUUCACCUUGCUUUCAUGCCAGCCAAUACUUAAAUUUGUGCGGAAGUAUGUGGUACGCCCAAGAACAAUUUCGUCGAUUUUACUUUUCAGCUCCUUUUUCUUAGGAGAUUGCUGUACUGUUUAACAGGGAUGCGUCUCUAGCAGUCUUCCUUGGGAUAGGAAAGUGAAGUAUUUGGUCGGCAUGACAUUGGCUUGUCAUGAUUGGAAAAAUGUAGAGAGGGGAAAACUGACCCUUUGGCAUGUGAAUGGAACAUAUUCUGUGGUAUAUUAUUGAUGGAUUGGUGAAACGGUAGAGGUAACUAAGACAUUUCAUAGUCUCACGCUCUCAACAGACCCUUAGUGGCAGAGCUAACCGGUACCUAUGAAUAAUCGAGGUGCGCAAGCUGGCUCGGACACCACUGUUAUUAAAAAAGAAAAAGCUAAGCAAUUUCACAUAAUCCACUUACAUGGUACUCUUAGAUGCGAGACACAUUCAUUUUGGACCAAAAUGUGACUUUUAGUGAUAGUGGAGGCAUCUCAAGUUUGUGGAGUGUCUUUAACAAUAUUUAUUUUACCUAUUUAAUUUCCAGGAGACAGAUUGGAACAUUUUGCACAGUGGUGCUUUUGGAGACUGUGAUUGCUCACAGCUGGAAAAUUCAAAUUCAUGCUUGAAACACCAGCACGGACCUUGUCAAAAUGCUAGGCUGGAAAAGACUUCCGUUAGAUGUGUUUCAGUGUCAUGAUUGGCAAAGGAAAUUGCAUUUCGUAAACUCGUUUGCAUUUGGCUGAAACUGGAUUGGAGAUAUUAUUUCUUUGUAUGUGGAAAAUUCACUGGUACAUUUCUCUGCCAUGGCUGUAUGCUAUAAAGUUUAUUGAGGUUGUUACAAUUUUAUGCCGAAGGACUAGAAAGCCAUUCAUCCGAAGUACGUAAUGGACUACCAUCGACUAGUGCAAUCGUGCAUUAGUCCUUGAAACCUAAGCUUGAUCGUUCCAACGUGGUGCUGAGCUUGAACGUAAUCCCGUAUUUGUCUUAAUGGAUUGAUGUUGUAUGCUAAUAAUAUUCCUUUCAAAAUACGAUGAAAUUCAUUUAUUGCAUUACUCAACUAUGUAUGAAAUUGUGUAACUGUUAAAAUAUCAGUUUUCUAAGGGAAUAUGUUGGUUUGCAAGCAGAUUUAGGAUGUAAGCUGUUAGGACGAGUCUACAUUAGUUUCAGUCAAUUUGGUGCUUUCACUCCUUAUAAUUCUUCUUCAUUUUUUCUUUUGCCAGAACUUCAGUCCAUGUAAUUAUAUUCAUAGGAACGUUUAUUGCAUUCUCACAAAUAUUUAAACUUUACCUAGUUUCUAG